ensembl:lncRNA novel transcript
CUGGACUGUGGGGUUCAUCCUUUCCUAGGGAGCUUCCAAGGGCCCACACAGCCUGCUCCCCGCACCCCAUGGAGGCGCAAUGAUAGCAGAAUUACUGGCACUGUUAACCUGCUGGAGUGGGAACCUGGAGUCCUGGAAGGUGGGACUUGCUCAGGGACUCACUGCUGGCCUUGGGGAGCAGAGAACUCAGGUCUUUGUGAUUCCGAAGUCCAGGUUCUUCCACCUGCAACUGCAGUUUCCAGAAUUGGUCCCACCCCAGGAGGAUCAGCCAGGCAGAUGCAACGCCAGGAGCAGCAUCAGCCACGCUGUAAACAAGGGGGAAACGCCAAGCGCAUUACAGAGGACGUCAGCCCUGCCAUCACUGGGCUGGGGAAACAAUGCCAGCCAUGGCUGGUCUCCGGGUUCACAGUGAUAGGGGAAAUAAACCCUUAUUUGUCUAA